UAUUACGCAAUGGGGGCAACCCUGACGCAGCCAUGCCGCGCAAAUGAAGAAGGCCUUCGGGUUGUAAAGCUCUUUCGGUAGCGAGGAAGGCAUUUAGUUUAAUAGACUAGGUGAUUGACGUUAACUACAGCAGAAGCACCGGCUAACUCCGUGCCAGCAGCCGCGGUAAUACGGAGGGUGCGAGCGUUAAUCGGAAUAACUGGGCGUAAAGGGCACGCAGGCGGUGACUUAAGUGAGGUGUGAAAGCCCCGGGCUUAACCUGGGAAUUGCAUUUCACACUGGGUCGCUAGAGUACUUUAGGGAGGGGUAGAAUUCCGCGUGUAGCGGUGAAAUGCGUAGAGAUGUGGAGGAAUACCGAAGGCGAAGGCAGCCCCUUGGGAAUGUACUGACGCUCAUGUGCGAAAGCGUGGGGAGCAAACAGG
rnacentral:rRNA from 1 species